rnacentral:rRNA from 1 species
GAUGAACGCUGGCGGCGUGCCUAAUACAUGCAAGUCGAGCGAACAGACGAGGAGCUUGCUCCUUUGACGUUAGCGGCGGACGGGUGAGUAACACGUGGGUAACCUACCUAUAAGACUGGGAUAACUUCGGGAAACCGGAGCUAAUACCGGAUAAUAUUUCGAACCGCAUGGUUCGAUAGUGAAAGAUGGCUUUGCUAUCACUUAUAGAUGGACCCGCGCCGCAUUAGCUAGUUGGUAAGGUAACGGCUUACCAAGGCAACGAUACGUAGCCGACCUGAGAGGGGGGAUCGGCCAAACUGAAACGAGAACAGGUCCCAAACUCCGAGGGGGGGAAGAGGAAGGAAGUCUCCCGCAAGGGGGGAAAGCCUGCGGAGGAAACGCGGGGGGGGUAAGAAAGGUCUUGGGAUCGUAAAACUCUGUUAUUAGGGAAGAAAAAACUGGUAGGUAACAGUGCACGUCUGAAGGGAACCAAAUAAAAAGGCAACGGCAAACAACGG